GCCGGGUGUGGUGGCUCACGCCUGUAAUCCCAGUACUUUGGGAGGCUGAGGCGGGUGGAUCACCUGAGGUCAGGAGUUCAAGACCAGCCUGACCAACAUGGUGAAACCCGGUCUCUA
ensembl:misc_RNA Metazoa_SRP Metazoan signal recognition particle RNA